GUGCACUGGCUUCUUUUGGCUGACGGAUUUUGGGACACUCUGCAAAUGCUCUGGUAUCGAUUGGCUGGUGAAAACGGACUGGUCUCCUCGUGUGUGUCACGCGAAACAAAGCGGCGAAACAGAUGCCAAACAGAUGUGAGCAGCAAACUACAAAAGUGUAUUUUUUCGUAUCAUCACUCAUCCGGCGACUUCUACAACAUUAUUAUUAUACUCGAUGGAUCAUCAUUAGCAAAAAGGCUGUGCAACGAAUCGAUCUUUAUACACUUGCACAGUUGCAUCGCACCAAACUGAUUUGGUGAUGCGGGGAAGCAAAUUUCGCCCAAAGCUGAACCGUUCGAUGCUGUUAGAUGAUGGAAUGAUGAAUCCAAACCUACGCUCUGCUCUCCUGCGCCCCCAAAUCGAAAUGUAAUUAGUGCAGAAAUUCGUCCGUACACCUUCAGCCGUAAGGUCCCUCCGUUCCGGUUCCUCCGGUUUCCCGCUGGGCAGUCAAAGUCGAGCUGCGACGAGCCGAGCCGAUGCCGACCCACUGGCGAAUGUGUCCGAGAUAAUUAGAUAUUUAUCAUCAAUCACAUCGAAAUUAUGCAAGUACAAACAGGCGAGUAGGAAUUAGUAA